GCAACCUGGGAACAAAUGUUAUAUCUCCCUGUGGGCUGCCACAUACAGAUCUGUUCAGCCUGCAGGAACGGUAUCUGACUUACAAUUGGAAAAAGAGGUGGUGAAUAGGACACUAAUGUACCAUAAACAAUACCAUCAGCAGCAGCAUCUAAGUGACUCAUUCUGUCCACCCAUUGGAUGUAUUUUGAGCAUGCAGAGAAAUUCACCAAAUAUGGAUUAUUUUGGACCAAGAUGAUUUCCACUCCCUCUAUGUGGAGGAGUGGCUACCUUGUCUUCAGAAGGUCUUUUGAACCCUGACUUCCAUUGGUUGACAUCAGAAGGGGCUUUCAAGAGCUCAAAAGAGAUUUUUCAGCCUGGUUAUUUAAGCAGAAUGAACAA